UGGGGCGCUAGGUGUGGGUCCAUUCCACGGGGUCCGUGCCGCAGCUAACGCAUUAAGCGCCCCGCCUGGGGAGUACGGCCGCAAGGCUAAAACUCAAAGGAAUUGACGGGGGCCCGCACAAGCGGCGGAGCAUGCGGAUUAAUUCGAUGCAACGCGAAGAACCUUACCAAGGCUUGACAUGUACCGGAAACUCCCAGAGAUGGGGGCCCCGCAAGGUCGGUACACAGGUGGUGCAUGGUUGUCGUCAGCUCGUGUCGUGAGAUGUUGGGUUAAGUCCCGCAACGAGCGCAACCCUCGUUCUAUGUUGCCAGCACGUGAUGGUGGGGACUCAUAGGAGACUGCCGGGGUCAACUCGGAGGAAGGUGGGGAUGACGUCAAAUCAUCAUGCCCCUUACGUCUUGGGCUUCACGCAUGCUACAAUGGCCGGUACAGAGGGCUGCGAAACCGUGAGGUGGAGCGAAUCCCUUAAAGCUGGUCUCAGUUCGGAUUGGGGUCUGCAACUCGACCCCAUGAAGUCGGAGUCGCUAGUAAUCGCAGAUCAGCAACGCUGCGGUGAAUACGUUCCCGGGCCUUGUACACACCGCCCGUCAAGUCACGAAAGUCGGUAACACCCGAAGCCGGUGGCCCAACCCCUUGUGGGAGGGAGCCGUCGAAGGUGGGGCUG
rnacentral:rRNA from 1 species